rnacentral:misc_RNA from 1 species
UGGACGCCUAACACGUCCAAACGAUCUCCUACUUGCCGACACAUCCAUCCGAAUCACCAAACAACACUGAGCAACUUCAAAAGGACCGCAUUGCACAUUCUAUACCGCCUGCGACUCUAAAACAGAGCAACGCCAGCAACAGCAAGGAGAAAGGCGCACGCAAUGCUGUGCACAUUACUACACUACACAUAUCACAAUAAAAAAAGGAAAAAUUUUAGACUCGUAUUGAAAACUAGGAUUACAAUAUAUUCUUUUUUAAAAAUGAAGCAUACUAACGAAGUCUCCUAGAUUGAAGGUCUGGGUAGCGGCUCAAGAGGAAUAGUUAGCGGUGAAGGAGGUGGUGGUGGAAUUGAAUAACCAGUCCGCAUUGCCGCCGACAUUGUGGUUGGUAUAAGUGGUUGAAGGAGUCUGCGAUGCGGCCGCAGUGAUCUUUCAUAACCCUAUCUAAUGACUGUUCGGGGAGCAUGUCUUGUCUGGGUUUGAAAAACGCAGGUUACAGAUGGACGAGGUGAUGGGAAGGAGAGUGGAGCGAUGCUUGUAUGUGGGGCGCGUGGGUAUGGAUCCUCCAACGGUAAUUUUUCAACUGCUCCGCUCCUUAUUUUGCCUGGAUGCAUGGGCAUCAUGUUAGAUGUUAGGGUACUUGAUGUAAUCGGC